AGUCAAUAGAUACCCUGGUAGUCCAUGCCGUAAACGAUGAUUGCUAGGUGUGGGGGGUCUGACCCCUUCCGUGCCGGAGUUAAACACAAUAAGCAAUCCACCUGGGGAGUACGGCCGCAAGGUUGAAACUCAAAGGAAUUGACGGGGGCCCGCACAAGCAGUGGAGUAUGUGGUUUAAAUUCGAAGCAACGCGAAGAACCUUACCAGGUCUUGACAUCCACCGAAUCCUGUAGAGAUACGGGAGUGCCCUUCGGGGAACGGUGAGGCAGGUGGUGCAUGGUUGUCGUCAGCUCGUGUCGUGAGAUGUUGGGUUAAGUCCCGCAACGAGCGCAACCCUUGUGAAUAGUUGCUACGAAAGAGCACUCUAUUCAGACCGCCGUUGACAAAACGGAGGAAGGUGGGGAUGACGUCAAAUCAUCAUGCCCCUUAUGACCUGGGCUACACACGUACUACAAUGGCCGUUAACAGAGGGAUGCAAUGCCGCGAGGUGGAGCGAACCCCUAAAAACGGUCUCAGUUCAGAUUGCAGGCUG
rnacentral:rRNA from 1 species